CUGUCAGCAGAAAAUAGGUCAUCUGAAUUGAUAUGUAACACUGAAGCUUAAGGUAUAGGACAAAGAGUAUAGGGAAAAUGUUCCAGAAGUCUUUGAUUAUAAAAGCAGACGGAUCAUCUGUGGACUGUGUGGGAGUCUGGAGUUAAACAAUGGACGCAAACGGUGAAUCUCCCAGCAAGAUGAAGUGUUGCAAGUCAGGCGCUGGCACAUUUCCCUGCAGCUUGUAUUUAAGCACUGGAAAUAGAGCUGAAUAAUAAGCGGCAAACAGAAUUUUACGUUGCUAAGAAGUUAAGAAGGGUGUUGAUGGAAGAUAACAUCUCAAAGAAAAAUGGAGAGACAAAAAAAUAACCUUGCUACAUCUGGAUACUGGUUUUGUCAUGGCAUUACAUAACUAUUAUAGAACUGUAUGCUAUCUUUCCUGCUGUGAAACAAGAGGUGAGAGAAACAGCUUUUAGCCAUUUUUACUUUUCAUUAACAAAUGGUCUUGCUUGAAAAUGUGAUUCUCAAGAUCUCAGCAGUAGGGGGAUGCCUGUAGGCAGGAGUGUAAGUUUUCCCCUCAGUGAUUUGUAGGGUCGGAUAAUAAACCUGUAAAUUGCCAAGUGUACCUGGCCA
rnacentral:lncRNA from 1 species